rnacentral:rRNA from 1 species
UCUUAAGCCAUGGCGAGUCGAAUGUAGCAAUACAUGGCGUACUGCUCAGUAACACGUGGACAACCUACCCUCCGGACGGGUAUAAACCCGGGAAACUGGGUAUAAUCCCCGAUAGAUCUCGGUCGCUGGAAAGCCCCGAGAUCGAAAGCUCCGGCGCCAGAGGAUGGGUCUGCGGCCUAUCAGGUAGUAGUGGGUGUAGCGUACCUACUAGCCUACGACGGGUACGGGUUGUGAGAGCAAGAGCCCGGAGAUGGAUUCUGAGACACGAAUCCAGGCCCUACGGGGUGCAGCAGGCGCGAAAACUUUACAAUGCCGGCAACGGCGAUAAGGGGACCUCGAGUGCCAGGUUACAAAUCUGGCUGUCGUGAUGCCUAAAAAGCAUUGCAUAGCAAGGGCCGGGCAAGACCGGUGCCAGCCGCCGCGGUAACACCGGCGGCUCGAGUGGUAACCGUUAUUAUUGGGUCUAAAGGGUCUGUAGCCGGCCAGAUAAGUCUCUUGAGAAAUCCAGCAGCUCAACUGUUGGGCUUUCAGGAGAUACUGUCUGGCUCGAGGCCGGGAGAGGUGAGAGGUACUUCAGGGGUAGGGGUGAAAUCUUGUAAUCCUUGAAGGACCACCAGUGGCGAAGGCGUCUCACCAGAACGGACCUGACGGCAAGGGACGAAAGCUAGGGGCACGAACCGGAUUAGAUACCCGGGUAGUCCUAGCCGUAAACGAUACUCGCUAGGUGUCGGCCACGGUGCGACCGUUGUCGGUGCCGUAGGGAAGCCGUGAAGCGAGCCACCUGGGAAGUACGGCCGCAAGGCUGAAACUUAAAGGAAUUGGCGGGGGAGCACCACAACGGGUGGAGCUUGCGGUUUAAUUGGAUUCAACGCCGGAAAUCUUACCGGGACCGACAGCAAUAUGAAGGCCAGGCUGAAGACUUUGCCGGAUUAGCUGAGGGGUGGUGCAUGGCCGUCGUCAGUCGUACGANGUU